rnacentral:rRNA from 1 species
AAUCACGGCGAUGCGAGCGGUCCGCCGCCCGCGACGUCGUGAGAAGUCCACUGAACCUUAUCAUUUAGAGGAAGGAGAAGUCGUAACAAGGUUUCUGUAGGUGAACCUGCGGAAGGAUCAUUG